rnacentral:rRNA from 1 species
UACGUAGGGGGCAAGCGUUGUCCGGAUUUAUUGGGCGUAAAGCGCUCGCAGGUGGUUCGUUGCGUCGUGCGUGAAAGACCCCGGCUCAACUGGGGAGGGUCGUGCGAUACGGGCGAACUGGAGGCCAGUAGGGGGAUGCGGAAUUCCGGGUGUAGUGGUGGAAUGCGUAGAGAUCCGGAGGAACACCAGCGGCGAAGGCGGUAUCCUGGACUGGUCCUGACACUCAUGAGCGAAAGCGUGGGGAGCGAGUCCGG